GUCACACUCACUUUGGCAACACAUACAUUUGUAAUGAUACAGAAAAGAUUAGUAUGGCCCUGCACAAGGAUGACAUGUAAAUUCCUUUUUAAAAAUUUCA
rnacentral:snRNA from 1 species